rnacentral:rRNA from 1 species
GGGGGGGGGGGGGGGGGGGGGGGGGGGGGGCGGGGCGGGCGCGGGCUGCGGGGUGGGCGGCGGGCGGGUGCGUAACGCGUGGUGGCGUGCCCUUUUCUCCGGAAUAGCCUCGGGAAACUGGGCGUAAUACCGUAUCCGCCCUUUUGGGGAAAGAGUUAUCGGAAACGGAUCGGCCCGCGUUGGAUUAGGUAGUUGGUGGGGUAAUGGCCUACCAAGCCGACGAUCCAUAGCUGGUUUGAGAGGAUGAUCAGCCACACUGGGACUGAGACACGGCCCAGACUCCUACGGGAGGCAGCAGUGGGGAAUCUGAGACAAUGGGGGCAACCCUGAUCUAGCCAUGCCGCGUGAGUGAUGAAGGCCUUAGGGUUGUAAAGCUCUUUCAGCUGGGAAGAUAAUGACGGUACCAGCAGAAGAAGCCCCGGCUAACUCCGUG